AUUGAACGCUGGCGGCAGGCCUAACACAUGCAAGUCGAACGAGUGGCGGACGGGUGAGUAAUGUCUGGGAAACUGCCCGAUGGAGGGGGAUAACUACUGGAAACGGUAUCUAAUACCGCAUACCAUCGGAUGUGCCCAGAUGGGAUGAGCUAGUAGGUGGGGUAACGGUUCACCAAGGCUCCGAUCCCUAGCUGGUCUGAGAGGAGGACCACACACACUGGAACUGAGACACGGUCCAGACUCCUACGGGAGGCAGGAGUGGGGAAUAUUGCACAAUUGGCGCAAGCCGGAUGCAGCCAUGCCGCGUGUAUGAAGAAGGCCUUAGGGUUGUAAAGUACUUUCAUCGGGGAGGCGUUACUCGCAGAAGAAGCACCGGCUAACUCCGUGCCAGCAGCCGCGGUAAUAC
rnacentral:rRNA from 1 species